CCAAUCCUGGGCAUAUGAAAUCAGUAUAUUGAAGAGACAGCUGCACUCCCAUGUUCAUUGCCUCAUUGUUCAUGACAGCCAGGAUGUAGAAUCCACCAAAGUGUCCAUCAACUGAUGAAUAAAGAAAGAACAAUGAGGUACAUAUCGACAAUGGAAUGCUAUUCAGCCCUUAAAAAGCAGAAACUUCUAUCACAUGUGACAAUGUGGGAAGAGGUGGAGGACAUUGUUAAGUGAAAUAAGCCAGACAUAGAAAGACAGCCACCGCACAGUCUCACUUGUAUGUGGAAUCUAAAAAAGUUGAACACGUAGAAGUGAGUAGACUGUUGGUACCAGGAUUAGGGAAGGGAGGUGGUAGAAGAUAGGUUGGUGAAAGCAUACAAAAUUUCAGUUUGGCUGGAAGAAUAAGUUCAAGAGAAAUAUUGUGUUCUAGCACUAUGGUGACCACAGUUAAUCACAAUGUAUUGUCAUUUUGAAAAUUGUUCGUAGAUUUUAAGUGUUCUCACCACAAAAACAAAGAAUGUGAGAUAAUACAUAUAUUAGUUAGCUUAAAUUUGCCAUUCCACCAUGUAUACAUGUUUCAAAACACCAUGUCAUACAUGUUAUAAUUUUUAUUAAUAUAAUUUUUAUUCGUUAAUUAAUUUUUUUUUAAAGCUCACAUUCCACACUCAGCCCAGGCAUCUCCUCUGCUUAGAGCCUGUCUUCACCGUAUCUUCUGGUGCCUCCACGAAACACUCAUGCUUUUUUCUUAUCAUGCUUAUUGUAUAUCUGUCCCCUCCUUGAGGUGAGGCAACAAAGUAGGCAGAUUUCAAGGAAAUAAAAAACUUUUUCUUUCCAUUUUGUAUAGAACUUUCUCAUUAAAUUUAGUUUUGCCUUUUUUUGACUACUACUAAAAUUGAACAGUUUUCAAAUUUUUUACUGGACCAUUGCAGUUUUUUUUCCUAUUUUAAUUCCUUUUCAGGACCUGAGCUCAAAUUUUUACUUGUAUGAUCACCUUUUUCUUAUUGAUUUCCAAGAUCCCUUGAUAGCAACGAUAUUGACCCUUUUUACAUAUUUUCUGAAUUUAAGAUUCUUAUUUACUUCUUGGUUUUUGUUUAUAGUUCAAUGGUUCUUAUUUUCAACAUUGUAGUAGUCAAAUCUGGACCAUUUAGCUUUUUAUAAUCAGACAUACUCAAAAAGAGAGUCAAAGGUAGCUUAGAAGUAUGUAUUUAAUGCAAGGACAGGAUUAAGUGAAAGCAGAUAAAAAAAAAUUAGGCAAAGAAAACAAAUAAUGAUAGGAAAGUAAGAUGGGCCAGGAGUUGCCUUGAUUUUAUUUUAUUUUUUUUAAAAAGAUGCCAUUGCAUGUUUGCACUCAUUAAGAGUGGCUGUCUGCUCUCCUGUAGCACAUGUUGACAAGUAAAUCUAAUGUACAAGAUCAAUGGUGGUGCAAGGGAGAAACUGGGGGCAUACUUAGAAGAUACAAUGAUAUUCCUAAUUCUGAUGCUAAUCCAUCCCCUCCAAAAAAGUUUUUCCUCUGAAUCCUUAUGAGAACACAUUGUAAAUAAACUGUAUCUUUAGCAGCAGCCUACAGGGAAAUGCAACACAUCUCAUAGGUCAUUUCAAGAAUUGCAGACAAAUUUUUCAAGGAUUUGUUCAUUGUUUUAACUUUGUGAAACAAUAUCCAUUUCUGAUUAAUUAUUUUAAAAUAAUCAGGGAGGCAUGUAGCAAAGGAAGGAUGUCAAGGAAAAGAAUGUUUUGUAUUGAUCUUAAAAGCAGUUUUAUUUUUAUAUGAAGGAAAACACUUCCCAGUGGCCUUUUACUUAGAGCAAUUUCACUGGUCAAAAAUACUUUUCAGAUAUGUUUGGGGUAGCGUGGAAAAACACACCAAACAGCUAUUUGUCAAGACUUCAAAGGCUGAUACUUUGAACUGCUCAAAGUAAGUUGGUUGAUCAGUCCUGACACUGCAUUCAGAAUGAACACAAUAUACAACUAGUGUUGCUGCAACCCCUGUAACCACAGAGUUCUGCUUGAAGUGCCAGAAGUCAAAUUCAAAGCAGAAGGAAGAGAUGAUUCUGCAGGAGUUUGGAAUAAUUGGAAAAACUGGUGCAUGUUUUUGGAUUUCUG
rnacentral:lncRNA from 1 species